GAGUGGCGGACGGGUGAGGAAUGCGUCGGAAUCUGCCUUUUUGUGGGGGAUAACGUAGGGAAACUUACGCUAAUACCGCAUACGACCUACGGGUGAAAGUGGGGGACCCCAAGGCCUCGCGCAGAAAGAUGAGCCGAGGCCGGAUUAGCUAGUUGGCGGGGUAAAGGCCCACCAAGGCGACGAUCCGUAGCUGGUCUGAAGGGAUGAUCAGCCACACUGGAACUGAGACACGGUCCAGACUCCUACGGGAGGCAGCAGUGGGGAAUAUUGGACAAUGGGCGCAAGCCUGAUCCAGCCAUGCCGCGUGUGUGAAGAAGGCCUUCGGGUUGUAAAGCACUUUUGUCCGGAAAGAAAAGCAUUCGGUUAAUAACCGGGGGUCAUGACGGUACCGGAAGAAUAAGCACCGGCUA
rnacentral:rRNA from 1 species